rnacentral:lncRNA from 1 species
AAUUAAUCCUCCUAUAACUCACUAACUUUUUAGCAAGUUAUAUAAUACAAUAUUUGCAUUAGAUCAAUUAUCAAUCAAAUUAAAAAUCAAAUUCUGUUAUGAUUCAUAAUCAUAAUUCAACCAUCUGAUCAGUCAAAAGCCACUUUUGUAUGUAACCCCAUAGGUUUUAUUCUAUCUAGUAGUGAGAUAUAUUGUGACCUCUAUCACAAUAUCAUUGAACACUUUUCAAUGGUUUGAAAUAAUUCCAACUCAGCCCACCAA